rnacentral:lncRNA from 1 species
CUCUGCCAAGAGCAAGUGAAAUGGGCAUGCUUUUAAAAGAGCUACCACAAGACUGAUUACCUUUCCAAGUAAUUAAACGUUGUGAAAGGUUGUUAACGUGCCGAUAAUAGACAGCUUUGCAAACCGCCAGCACAGCAGGAUCUGACAGAGGACAGCACCCAGCAGAGCUCGGGACUCCUCCGCCUUCGGGGCUCUGGUAGGUGCCCCUACCUUCGGGGAUGGUAGGUGGGCACUUGUUCAGAGGAAGCACCUCCUGGUCCUGCCCUGAGACCUCAGGUGGAAAAAUUCUGCUUUUUCCUUGUCUUUCUGUACACAGUAGCAAGCGGAAAAAUGCAGAGGAAAGAAAAGUGCAGGGGAUGGUGGAAAGAUUCAAUAACAUCCUGGCUGAGAGCAUCCUUUUAAUCCUCCAAAAGGGAUGCCAGAGGACAAAGUGGCUCAGGAAGAUGGAAAGAGGCACUGGAUUGCACGGACACCCACGGGAUGGAGAUGAGCCAGGCCAUGCGGGGACACCAGCCAGCUCCAGUGCCGCUGCCCGGACUGGAAAGACUCUCCCUCCUUCCAAGCUGUCUCUUCUGCUCCCCCCCUGA